UACGUAGGGGGCAAGCGUUAUCCGGAAUCAUUGGGCGUAAAGCGCGUGUAGGCGGUUCCGUAAGUCCGCUCUGAAAGCCCAGGGCUCAACCCUGGGAGGCGGGUGGAUACUACGGAACUGGAGUACGGAAGAGGAGAUUGGAAUCCUGGUGUAGCGGUGAAAUGCGCAGAUAUCAGGAGGAACACCAACAGCGAAGGCAGAUCUCUGGGACGUUACUGACGCUGAGACGCGAAAGCGUGGGGAGCAAACAGG
rnacentral:rRNA from 1 species